rnacentral:rRNA from 1 species
ACUCCUACGGGAGGCAGCAGUGGGGAAUCUUAGACAAUGGGGGCAACCCUGAUCUAGCCAUGCCGCGUGAGUGAUGAAGGCCCUAGGGUUGUAAAGCCCUUUUGUACGGGAAGAAAUCAUCCGGGUUAAUACCCUGGGUGGAUGACGGUACCGUAAGAAUAAGCACCGGCUAACUUCGUGCCAGCAGCCGCGGUAAUACGAAGGGUGCAAGCGUUAAUCGGAAUCACUGGGCGUAAAGCGUGCGUAGGUGGUUGUUCAAGUCUGUCGUGAAAGCCCUGGGCUCAACCUGGGAAUGGCGAUGGAAACUGGGCGACUGGAGUGCGGUAGAGGAUGGCGGAAUUCCCGGUGUAGCGGUGAAAUGCGUAGAGAUCGGGAGGAACAUCCGUGGCGAAGGCGGCCAUCUGGACCAGCACUGACACUGAGGCACGAAAGCGUGGGGAGCAAACAGGAUUAGAUACCCUGGUAGUC